UGUAGUACUGGGGAUGCCCAGUAGGGGGCGCAUGGUACUUUGAGCUAUAAGGACACCUGGCUUCGCCCUCUCAGGCAAGUGAGCCGGUAAAAUGCUCCAAUAUCUCCCUUUUUUCAGAUCCCGCGUCACGAGCCGUGUGUCUCGACUCCCCGUAUUCCCCUCUGGUUCCCCGGCUGCCUCGUGGAUCUCGACACGGACUCUGACGCCUCGCUCCUGCCCUUGACGUCACGCCUGCCCACGGACCUCCGAGCUUUCCUUGCCCCCUCUUGGACUUCCGCACCUCGCUCAACACUUCCGGGUUGACACGGUAUCCAUGGUAACAGGAUCCCAUCACACCUUAAAAUUCCAGUAUUCCGGACAUCUGUGUUGGUGAAUCUUCUGCAAUUUGUUUAAUGAACAAUGGAGACUGCAAAGAAGAAAGCUGUAGGUGGGAUCGGUGUAUUAGCGGUGGACUACAGCAACACAACCAGGAGGACUUUGAGAUGGAUAGCAGACGCGCUACCGCUGGCAGCUUACAAGCCACCGGCGGCGGUAAUGGAUGAGACGGCGGCGGAAGAUUGAAGAUGUCCGCCUCACCUCGGAGGGCAAAGCCAUCAGGGAAGUAGCAGAAGGACCUAGAAGGUGUCGUUGUGAGGGCAGAUGAAGACGUGGAAGCAGGCAGUCAAAGCUGCUUCAUCUCCACCGUGAAGUCACACGCUGACAUUGUUGGCAUCUUUUGGCUCACAAGAUCCUCUCCAAGGUCUUCAUAUCUCAACAUCCCAGCCCAGCGACAACAUCGCCCGCACACUUUGCUCAGGUCAUUUUUACACAACAAAAUCACUUUAACUUUCGGUGCAGAGAAACUUUCCUUGCAACUUUUGCUACUUCAUUGACCUCUGAUGUUGACCUUGACGCUGCAGCUACGUAUUGAUUAUUUAGUACGCAACACAAGCGGGGAAUCAGACUUCACACUCAGAAAAAGUGCAACGAAGUUCCUACAAGACGAGGGAUGGGUACCCAAUUUCAGAGGUACGGAACCAAGUACGGCCGACGACCCCCAAGUCCAGAUCGGGGUCGACAGUGAUGAUGAUGAUCAUUCCGCUACCUCCCAAGAAAGGAACUUCUUUUCAAAACAACAUUUUAUACUUUUUUGACACUAGACCAUACGAAAAAUAAUUAAUUUCCUGCAGCUGAUAAGAAGAGGGGAGAGUAUUAUUAAUACUAUUACUCUUCACGUUUAGUAACUACAAGAAGUGAAUGCAGUAACAGUUUGUAGCAAUAUAACAAUGUAUCAUAAUUAUUACACAAUAUGAGAAUGUGUGCUGUAUAAAUUAAUGAAUGAAUUAUUACAUUUAAUUAUAGCAAAUGUAUCACAGUAAAUAUGCAGGGAUUACCUAAACUGAUGUGUUGUGUUAAUUUAGCAAUACAAAGUGUAGUUGUUGAUUGUUUAAUUUCAUUUCUAAUGAAUUCAACACAAC